GACGAACGCUGGCGGCGUGCUUAACAAAUGCAAGUCGAACGGAAAGGUACUGCUUUUGUGGGGUGCUCGAGUGGCGAACGGGUGAGUAACAAGUGGGUAACCUGCCUUUGACUUUGGGAUAACUUCAGGAAACUGGGGCUAAUACCGGAUAGGAGCUCCUGCUGCAUGGUGGGGGUUGGAAAGUUUCGGCGGUUGGGGAUGGACUCGCGGCUUAUCAGCUUGUUGGUGGGGUAGUGGCUUACCAAGGCUUUGACGGGUAGCCGGCCUGAGAGGGUGACCGGCCACAUUGGGACUGAGAUACGGCCCAGACUCCUACGGGAGGCAGCAGUGGGGAAUAUUGCACAAUGGGCGGAAGCCUGAUGCAGCAACGCCGCGUGCGGGAUGACGGCCUUCGGGUUGUAAACCGCUUUCGCCUGUGACGAAGCGUGAGUGACGGUAAUGGGUAAAGAAGCACCGGCUAACUACGUG
rnacentral:rRNA from 1 species